rnacentral:rRNA from 1 species
GACGAACGCUGGCGGCGUGCCUAAUACAUGCAAGUAGGACGCAGUUGCGAACGGGGGAGUAACGCGGAGGUAACUGCCUAUUAGAGGGGGAUAACUAUUGGAAACGAUAGCUAAUACCGCAUACUAGUAGAUGGACCUGCGUUGUAUUAGCUAGUAGGUAGGGUAAUGGCCUACCUAGGCGACGAUACAUAGCCGAGCUGGGAGGGUGAUCGGCCAAAACGGGAACGGGGCCCGGGCCAGGCUCCCUAGGGAGGCAGCAGGAGGGAAUCUUCGGAAAUUGGGGGAACCUUGACCGAGCAACGCCGCGUGAGUGAAGAAGGUUUUCGGAUCGGAAAGCUCUGUUGUUAAGGAAGCGGUACUUAACCAGAAAGGGACGGCUAACUACGUGCCAGCAGCCGCGGUAAUAC